CUACAAAAGACAUUUCGAGUGAUGAGGAGUUACUCUAUGAUUAUGGCUCAAAGAGGAGAUCUUUUGCCGGGAAAGGGCUGGAAUUGGACUGGAUGAAAAACAACAUCUUUCCAUCGCCCAUACUCACUCACUUCUAACAUGUCCAACUCCCAAGUUUCCACCUGUGGCCAUAUUCUCUCCUCUCUCUCUCUGGACAACCAUCACUGCUCUUCUCACCCUGGAGUACUCUUUCUGCACUGCCAAGCAACAACACUGCUCUCCAAAUAGAGACUUGGUUGUAAUAGGCUGAAUGAUUUUCUUUAUGCAAUAGUGAGAGUGUGAGUAGGCUACUCCAUAUUCUCUCCUCUCUCUCUGGAUUUUGUACAACACAUGUGGAAUUACAGCCUGAUUACCAAGGCUUUUAAGGUCAGCAGACAUGGACCUCAAUGCUGAGAAUU